CAGAUCCGGAGGCAUGGAUACUUCGGUGACUUUAACUUUAUCAUAUUAUUUGUUGUAGGCAUUUUGCCGUUGUAUGCUAUUAACUCGGAUGCUAUGAGUUUUGUUCGCAGAUUCAUCCUUUAUGUUUUUAGCGAUGUUGAUUUCGUGGUUGUAUUUGAUGUAAUCUAUCAAUUUGAAUGAAUGAAUAUCAUUUUGUUAUUGUCAAAAAAAAA
rnacentral:lncRNA from 1 species